CAGUCGCCACGGGAAUACGAAGGGUGCAAGCGUUACUCGGAAUUACUGGGCGUAAAGCGUGCGUAGGUGGUGGUUUAAGUCCGUUGUGAAAGCCCUGGGCUCAACCUGGGAAUUGCAGUGGAUACUGGGUCACUAGAGUGUGGUAGAGGAUAGUGGAAUUUCCGGUGUAGCAGUGAAAUGCGUAGAGAUCGGAAGGAACAUCUGUGGCGAAGGCGACUAUCUGGGCCAACACUGACACUGAGGCACGAAAGCGUGGGGAGCAAACAGGACUAGAUACCCCCGUAGUCCCUGUCUCUUAUAC
rnacentral:rRNA from 1 species